UACGGAGGGUGCGAGCGUUGUUCGGAAUUAUUGGGCGUAAAGCGCGCGUAGGCGGCUCGGUAAGUCUCUUGUGAAAGCCCGGGGCUCAACCCCGGGAGGCCAGGGGAUACUGUCGGGCUGGAGACAGGCAGAGGCUGGUGGAAUUCCGGGUGUAGCGGUGGAAUGCGUAGAGAUCCGGAGGAACAUCGGAGGCGAAGGCGGCCAGCUGGGCCUGGACUGACGCUGAGGCGCGAAAGCGUGGGGAGCGAACAGG
rnacentral:misc_RNA from 1 species